rnacentral:rRNA from 1 species
GAUGAACGCUGGCGGCGUGCUUAACACAUGCAAGUCGAACGGUGAAAGAGAGCUUGCUCUCUGGAUCAGUGGCGAACGGGUGAGUAACACGUGAGCAAUCUGCCCCUGACUCUGGGAUAAGCGCUGGAAACGGCGUCUAAUACCGGAUACGAGCUGCGAAGGCAUCUUCAGCAGCUGGAAAGAACUUCGGUCAGGGAUGAGCUCGCGGCCUAUCAGCUAGUUGGUGAGGUAAUGGCUCACCAAGGCGUCGACGGGUAGCCGGCCUGAGAGGGUGACCGGCCACACUGGGACUGAGACACGGCCCAGACUCCUACGGGAGGCAGCAGUGGGGAAUAUUGCACAAUGGGCGCAAGCCUGAUGCAGCAACGCCGCGUGAGGGACGACGGCCUUCGGGUUGUAAACCUCUUUUAGCAGGGAAGAAGCGAAAGUGACGGUACCUGCAGAAAAAGCACCGGCUAACUACGUGCCAGCCGCCGCAGUAAGAC